ACCACUGAGCUAUAACCAUAUCCUUCUUUUUACUUUUUAUUUUGAGACAGAGUUUCACUAAGUUGCCAAGACUAGCCUUGAACUCACUCUGAAGCCCAGGCUGACCUUGAUAUAUAACAACCCUUCUGCCUUAGCUCUCUGAUUCACUGGGAUUACAAACCAACUUGGUUUCCCUGUUCUCCCUUUUCCUUCCUAAAAUGCAGACUCAUAAGGAUCAGUCUUGAAGACACAAACUGACCAAUAGAGAAGACAACUCAGACAAAGGGAACAAGUACAGAAUCCAAGAUCAAAGAGGAAGACAAUGUACAGAAUUAUAUAUCCGUUCAAAUAUAUACUAACAUGAUUUAUCUAUGUAAGACGAGGCUGAGACACUGAAGAAACCAUGCAACAAUGUUUGGCAUUACUCCCCCCCCCCCUUGCACUUUAGAUUAAGGAUGACAAUAUGAGGAAAUGGAAAGAAGAAAUUAUAACAUUUUAAACAAUUACAAAUGAAAUUCAAGGAUUGGGGGGGGGGAGCAGGGAGAGCAGGGAUCCUGCUCUCUCUCUCUUCCUUCCCCACUAAUCUUUUCCCACCCAGUCAUCUGCACGACAGCCUAGAACUGAGUGCAUGGUCAGGAGAUGGGUACAUUGCCAUGGCCCUUCCCCUGACAUGAGCAUCAGUAAACCUGCCAGUCAUGCUUAACGCACGUUGGGAUCUGUGCAGUGAAAGGGUGAGAGAGACUGCAGCAGCAUCUAGCUUUCUUGAGCAGUCCUCACCCUGGCUCUCCCUGCCAUUAACUAAAAGGUGGCAGUCAAUAAGAUCCAGGACAAACUGCUGGUAGCUAGAUUAAUGAUUCGGGCCACCAAAACCACCUUGUCUUGCAUUUGUUCGUCGGUCAGCCCUGGACUAGAGCUGGGUGAGCGAUCCCCAGAAAGAUGGAGUUCUCCCUCUGCCUCCCCUAAGCCCUCUUCCCAGCCUCCACCGUGGUGAGGUCCUCUGCCAAGAGCCUGCUGCCGCGGCUGUGCAGUCCCUAAGUCCCUGAGACCUUUUCUCCUUGCUCCCUAACAUACGCCUAGCAUCUCAUUACACCCGAAGCAGCCUCCAUAUGGGCAUGACCCAACCUGCUUCCUCAAGCCCAUCCACUCUGACGCCAGAGCAGCUUUGCGGCAGCCAGGACCUAACUGGAGGCCCAGGAAAGAGGGUGGCGUCAAAAAACCUCCAUGGCUAUCUUCUUCAGCCCCACCCCCAUUCCAGGAAGACUACCAUACACACACACACACACACACACACACACACACACACACACGAGAUUCUGUUGCCUGAAUGUAUGAUCCUCAAAUCCCAGACUUUCUCUCUCCCUUUGUAUUACAUAUGUUCCUAGUUUUACAGAGUGGAGGCUUGGCCAUGGGCCUUCCUCAUUUUUGGUUUUAUGAUGAACAGCAUGGUUAUAUCAGGUAUAGGAUUUUUGAGUCAGAAUUAGCUUUAGCACAUUUGAAUCUGUUUUAGAAUCUGUUUUAGAGAAGCUAAAUGACCCUACCAAGGCUAUACAUCCGCACUGCUAAGACUGAGUAGAACUAGAGCCCAAAUAUUUUGACUCCGAAACCAGUGCUCUUUCCACUAACCUAUAAUACUUUCAAAAGCAACACACUGGAAGAGAGACAGUAUCCAUUAUUCAUGAACAAUGUUCAUCAAACUUAAUAACCCUUGAUAACCAGGACAAACUUUUAGAGGUAGCUGGCAAAGAAGGUAAUGGAGACACUGUAGGCAAGCAAAUCCCUUUCCUUUCUGAAAAAUCCUUUUUUACUACCUCUCCCCAUGAUACAGCACAGAGCCCUAAGGGGCAAUACCCUUAGGUGCACAGAGAGUGUGUCUCUCUCCUUCUGUCUUUCCCAACAUGUCAUCUCAGCCGUGGGACACUGAGACUGCCACACUGCUCCAAGACUCAAGACUGUCCAAGGAAUUUCUCCGCCAAAAGCAGGGCUCACAUCUUACGUGUCUCACCAUGGAAAAAGUCGCAGCAUUACCGGGUCCCGAUCUUUUCUAUUUCUGGGUCCCUACCUGGGUUCCAGUGAGGGUGUGCAUGUUUCAGUGUAACCAAAGAAAUGACCUCAGAGAGCCUAUCCAGCUGGCAAGCUGAGCUCUGACAGAGGAACAAUAUUCCAUCGUGUGAAUGGGCCACCUUUUCUGUAUCUGUUCAUGUGUUGAUGGACAUUGAAUUUCUGAUUUGUCUACUGUGACUACUGCUGCAGUGAACAGUGGUCUGCAAAUGUCAGCUGAACAAUCUGAUUUCAAGUCUUCAGGAACUUCCAUCCAUUGUUUCAUGUUGGCUGCCUAGUACGAAUUUUUACCAACAGUGUGGAAGUAUCCCAUUUCCUUCACAUUCUCGCCAGCACCUGUUAUCUUUCGGCAACAAAACAAAACAGAAAACAAGUUGCAGUGAGGAGAACCUGAGACCAUGCAGCCGCUAGAGAGAGUGGGAAGGUAACAGUGUGGCCAAAGUGUCUGUCAAUCGGGCAGUCUACCUGAAAGGUAAUCACAGAAUUCCUAUCCGGCCCAGGAAUUCUACUGCUAAGAACAGAAAAACGUGUAUUCAAACAAGAGCUUGUAUACCGUUCCUGGAAAUAAUUUUAAUAGUAGCCAAAAAUUGGAACCAGUCCAAAUGUCUAUCAAUGAAUGAAUAAGCAAACGUCUACACAUAAUAAAAUAGUCAGCAUAGAAAGGAAUGAAAUCCUGAUAGGCACUAAGACUUGGAAACACCUUGAAAUCAUUGCAUUAAUGAAAGACGCCAGACAUUCACAUAUCAUACAAUUCCAUUUCUAUGAAAUGCCAGGAUGGACAGAUCCAUAGAAAUGUGAAGUAGAUUCGUGCCUCCCAGGGCCCAGGGAAGGACAGUGGCACUGACUGCUCAAUAAGUAUGGGGUUUCCUUUAUGAUAAUGAAAAUAUCUUGGAAAAAGAUACUGUAUUUUUGGGAAAACGGAUGGAUCCAGAAACAUAGUGAGGUACCUCAGACAGACAAUCCUGUAUGUUUCUCUCAUCUGUGGACCUUAGCUGUUAAUUUAUGUAUGUGUUUGUUAUGGAAGUGAGUAUGGGCAGAGGCUGGGAAAACUAGAAAGGGCCAUGAGAGGGGGAAGUGGAGGUUAAGGGAAGGAGGAUGGAGGGUAGCGGAGCAGGCAGGAUGUGAAAAGGGAAAGGGGAAAGCUGGGCAGUGGUGGCUCACUCCUUUAAUCCCAGCACUCUGGAGGCAGAGGCAGGCUGAUCUCUGUGAGUUCAAGGCCAGCGUGGUCUACAGAGUAAGUUCCAGGACAGCCAGGGCUACACAGAGAAACCCUGUCUCAAAAAACCAAAACAAAACAAAGAAAAAAAAAAAAGAAAGAAAGAAAAGAAAAGAAAAUGGAAGUGGGAAUUCUAAGGCAAAAGGGCACGGCAGUGGGGAGGGAGGUUCGGGAGAGUGGAGAAGGGGUCACCGGAAACAAAGUGUGCUUGAGAAUGGCACGAUGGAACCUAUUGCUUUGUGUGUUAAUUCAGAAACCAAUUCUUUUAAAAAGCAAACGAUAAGCCUUGGGUUUAGACAGAGAAAUACUUGCAAAACACUGUGAGUGGACUAAGCCAGACUUCAGGGAUGUGUACUUCACAGAUACAUGACAACAAUCUUAUUGUUUUAUCAAGGGAAAGAAAAAAAUCAGCAGUAUUGAAAAUCGAGAAGGUAUGUUGUAAAGACUGUGAAGUCCCUUUUUUAAAAAAAAAAAAAAUUGUUGCAUUUGAUUUAUUUGUCCUGUGUGGGGAGCUAUGAGGACUGGCAGGAAGCAGUUCUUCCUUGUAUAAUGUAGGCCCUAGGAAGUGAGCUCAGGCCAUCAUCAGGCUGGGUGGCAAGAGCUCUCACCUGCUGAGCCUUCUUGCUGGCCCACGUGACGUCAUUUUUAACAGGCUGUCAGUUGUGUGUGAGUAUGCAUGGGAUCAAAUGCUGAGCACUGGAUGGGGACAGCUCACGGAGAGGAACGAGGAGCUGUGUUUUGGGAACUCUGGAGCAGCUCCUGCUGGGCAGCGUCUUUUUCCACCACUACAGCUCAGUCUAGAAUGUCCUCAAGUGCCUGUGUGUUCAAAGGCUUGGUGGUCCUCAGCUUGGAGAGCGUGGAACCCUUUAAUAGUCAGAAGCCAGAAGGCUUCAUGAGGGAUACCUACAAAAGGGAAUACGGGGCCCCAACCUUGUUUUCUACCUCUUCCCAGCUGCCACGAGUUCACAGGGUUUCCUCUGCCACGCACACCCACUGUGAUAUACUGAGCUACCACAAACCGGAAGCAACAGGGACUGAGACCUCUGCGGAAAUGGCAAAAUAAAACUUCCUUUUUUCUGUGUGCA